rnacentral:rRNA from 1 species
AGCGAACGCUGGCGGCAGGCUUAACACAUGCAAGUCGAACGGGCGUAGCAAUACGUCAGUGGCAGACGGGUGAGUAACGCGUGGGAACGUACCUUUGGUUCGGAACAACCCAGGGAACUUGGGCUAAUACCGGAUAAGCCCUUACGGGGAAAGGAUUUAUCGCCAAAAGAUCGGCCCGCGUCUGAUUAGCUAGUUGGUGAGGUAACGGCUCACCAAGGCGACGAUCAGUAGCUGGUCUGAGAGGAUGAUCAGCCACAUUGGGACUGAGACACGGCCCAAACUCCUACGGGAGGCAGCAGUGGGGAAUAUUGGACAAUGGGCGCAAGCCUGAUCC